rnacentral:rRNA from 1 species
UACGAAGGGGGCUAGCGUUGUUCGGAAUCACUGGGCGUAAAGGGCGCGUAGGCGGCUUUAUAAGUCGGGGGUGAAAGCCUGUGGCUCAACCACAGAAUUGCCUUCGAUACUGUAUGGCUUGAGACCGGAAGAGGUAAGUGGAACUGCGAGUGUAGAGGUGAAAAUUCGUAGAUAUUCGCAAGAACACCAGUGGCGAAGGCGGCUUACUGGUC